rnacentral:rRNA from 1 species
UGGGGAAUAUUGCACAAUGGGCGCAAGCCUGAUGCAGCCAUGCCGCGUGUAUGAAGAAGGCCUUCGGGUUGUAAAGUACUUUCAGCGGGGAGGAAGGCGAUAAGGUUAAUAACCUUGUCGAUUGACGUUACCCGCAGAAGAAGCACCGGCUAACUCCGUGCCAGCAGCCGCGGUAAUACGGAGGGUGCAAGCGUUAAUCGGAAUUACUGGGCGUAAAGCGCACGCAGGCGGCCUGUCAAGUCGGAUGUGAAAUCCCCGGGCUCAACCUGGGAACUGCAUUCGAAACUGGCAGGCUAGAGUCUUGUAGAGGGGGGUAGAAUUCCAGGUGUAGCGGUGAAAUGCGUAGAGAUCUGGAGGAAUACCGGUGGCGAAGGCGGCCCCCUGGACAAAGACUGACGCUCAGGUGCGAAAGCGUGGGGAGCAAACA